rnacentral:rRNA from 1 species
AUACGGAGGAUGCAAGCGUUAUCCGGAUUUAUUGGGUUUAAAGGGUGCGUAGGCUGUGGGGAAAGUCAGGGGUGAAAGCCCGGCGCUUAACGCCGGAACUGCCUUUGAUACUUCUCCGCUGGAAUACGGAUGCCGUGGGAGGAAUGAGUAGUGUAGCGGUGAAAUGCAUAGAUAUUACUCAGAACACCGAUUGCGAAGGCAUCUCACGAAACAGUCAGUGACGCUUAGGCACGAAAGCGUGGGGAUCAAACAGGAUUAGAUACCCUGGUAGUCCACGCAGUAAACGAUGAUAACUAACCGUCGGCGAUACACAGUCGGUGGCCAAGCGAAAGCGAUAAGUUAUCCACCUGGGGAGUACGUUCGCAAGAAUGAAACUCAAAUGAAUUGACGGGG